rnacentral:rRNA from 1 species
GAUGAACGCUGGCGGCGUGCCUAAUACAUGCAAGUCGAGCGAAUGGAUUAAGAGCUUGCUCUUAUGAAGUUAGCGGCGGACGGGUGAGUAACACGUGGGUAACCUGCCCAUAAGACUGGGAUAACUCCGGGAAACCGGGGCUAAUACCGGAUAACAUUUUGAACCGCAUGGUUCGAAAUUGAAAGGCGGCUUCGGCUGUCACUUAUGGAUGGACCCGAGUCGCAUUAGCUAGUUGGUGAGGUAACGGCUCACCAAGGCAACGAUGCGUAGCCGACCUGAGAGGGUGAUCGGCCACACUGGGACUGGGACACGGCACAGACUCCUACGGGAGGCAGCAGGAGGGAAUCUUCCGCAAUGGACGAAAGUCUGACGGAGCAACGCCGCGUGAGUGAUGAAGGCUUUCGGGUCGUAAAACUCUGUUGUUGUGGAAGAACAAGUGCUAGUUGAGUAAGCUGGCACCUUGACGGUACCUAACCAGAAAUCCACGGCUAACUACGUGCCAGCGGCCGCCGUAA